CACGGUCUCACUAGUACUAAUUCAGGUGCCGACGACGACGACAGGCCCAAAGUGGUUACGUGAGACAAACACCACUCUCUUUUUGGCGCUGAAUUCCACAUUGCACGAACAUCGGGCAGCAGCAGCUUGCAAAACUUCGCUGCGGCCGGACUGCUUGGACGGCAGUGCUGUCAGAUUUGGUUGUUGUGAGUUUUGCUUCGAGUAGCUGGAGUUGAGUUGUCACAUUGAUCAUAGCAAGCUGAAAAAUGCUGCAUUGUGGCAAUUUAGUAUAAAACGUCACUUUUCAGUGAUGAAUAGUUAAAUUUUAUCGCAACUAUCUUGCAAAAGUCAUCUACGAAAUCAUUAAUUCAUUUUUAUUUUGCAGAUAAUCACGUGAUUUAGACAAAAGGGCACAAUUCCUCACAACCGGCAGCACUGAAGCGCGAUGCUUGAGCCAAAUUUGUGUGAGUAGGUUUAUGCUGAAUUUAGAUCCCAGUGUCACUCAUUUCUCCUACAUUAUGCUGAAUAACGCACACACACAUAAACAUAUCUAAGAACAGUGCCGAAUUAGGAAGAGCAUCAACCCCGCCAAAAUGCAACUUUUGUUUGUAAACAAAACCUUUUGACCUCUCUCUCACUGCGAGAGUGUAUCAAAACAACACGCAGAAUGAGUGCCACCGGCAGCAGCGAGCAACACUCAUUCUAUCAGUUUUGGCGCGCCGAACAGCUAAAA